AACGAACGCUGGCGGCGCGCCUAACACAUGCAAGUCGAACGAGAAGGCGUAGCAAUACGCUUGUAGAGUGGCGAACGGGUGAGUAAUACGUGGGUGACCUACCCUCGAGUGGGGAAUAACCCGCCGAAAGGCGGGCUAAUGCCGCGUACGCUUCCGUCCUCACGGGGACGGAAGGAAAGCUGUACCGUGGGUACGGCGCUCAAGGAUGGGCUCACGUCCUAUCAGCCUGUUGGUAGGGUAACGGCCACCAAGGCUACGACGGGUAGCUGGUCUGAGAGGACGAUCAGCCACACUGGCACUGCGACACGGGCCAGACUCCUACGGGAGGCAGCAGUGAGGAAUAUUGCGCAAUGGGCGAAAGCCUGACGCAGCGACGCCGCGU
rnacentral:rRNA from 1 species